GACGAACGCUGGCGGCGUGCUUAACACAUGCAAGUCGAACGGAAAGGCCCUGCUUUUGUGGGGUGCUCGAGUGGCGAACGGGUGAGUAACACGUGACUAACCUGCCCUUGACUUUGGGAUAACUUCAGGAAACUGGGGCUAAUACCGGAUAGGAGCUCCUGCUGCAUGGUGGGGGUUGGAAAGUUUCGGCGGUUGGGGAUGGACUCGCGGCUUAUCAGCUUGUUGGUGGGGUAGUGGCUUACCAAGGCUUUGACGGGUAGCCGGCCUGAGAGGGUGACCGGCCACAUUGGGACUGAGAUACGGCCCAGACUCCUACGGGAGGCAGCAGUGGGGAAUAUUGCACAAUGGGCGGAAGCCUGAUGCAGCAACGCCGCGUGCGGGAUGACGGCCUUCGGGUUGUAAACCGCUUUCGCCUGUGACGAAGCGUGAGUGACGGUAAUGGGUAAAGAAGCACCGGCUAACUAUGUG
rnacentral:rRNA from 1 species